GACGAACGCUGGCGGCGUGCUUAACACAUGCAAGUGGAACGGAAAGGCCCUGCUUUUGUGGGGUGCUCGGGUGGCGAACGGGUGAGUAACACGUGAGUAACCUGCCCUUGACUUUGGGAUAACUUCAGGAAACUGGGGCUAAUACCGGAUAGGAGCUCCUGCUGCAUGGUGGGGGUUGGAAAGUUUCGGCGGUUGGGGAUGGACUCGCGGCUUAUCAGCUUGUUGGUGGGGUAGUGGCUUACCAAGGCUUUGACGGGUAGCCGGCCUGAGAGGGUGACCGGCCACAUUGGGACUGAGAUACGGCCCAGACUCCUACGGGAGGCAGCAGUGGGGAAUAUUGCACAAUGGGCGGAAGCCUGAUGCAGCAACGCCGCGUGCGGGAUGACGGCCUUCGGGUUGUAAACCGCUUUCGCCUGUGACGAAGCGUGAGUGACGGUAAUGGGUAAAGAAGCACCGGCUAACUACGUG
rnacentral:rRNA from 1 species